UGGUGGACGUAGGAUUAUUUUGAUCCGAACCACGUUAAAUCUUGUGUUCUUUCUUUUACGUUUCCGCUAACAAUACUUUACAUGGUUGUUUUUGUGGAGUAACACUAAGCUUGUUUAGUAUCUAAUUUUGUGAAGUCUUAGCAAUUUUGCAUACCAAAUUCGUAUUUUCAACAAUAUAAAUGUAGUUGGUUCUUACCCGCGGGGUUGUCAUGAUACGCUUCUGUCAUACCUUGAGCAAACUUCAACGACUCAAAUUUUGUUCGAACUGAGCCAAGAUCACAGAUUAGUCCACUGCCAUCCUGCAAGUUUAGUUAACAUCAAUCAGAUUUACCUCAUGUCUUGUCAUUUGUUUUUUGUUAUUUCCAAUUGAACUAAACCAAAAUUAUGUUUUAAUGAUAAAAUAAACAUACAUCAUCAAUCAGUAUAUUGCGUGGUUUCAAAUCGCAGUGAACCAGGAAAGUUGUGUGCAAUAGAUGGAGGGCGUAUGCAACAUCCCGUAGUAACUUCAGUGCUUGUGGCCAAUCCAAUGCUACACAAAGUGUAAAAAUGCAUGUUAGAAGGGAUAAUGUUUGUGCAUGAGCUUUGUGACCACCUUAAUACCUGGUGUGCCAAAAAUAACAAGAGUACAAAGAUCAAACCUGUAGAGCUUCUAUGCUAGCAAGUGGUUUUGUAGUCAAUAAGAUUUGUGAAACAACAAUUAGUUCUCAUGUGUUGUUAACCAUUCAUUGUAAUCAGUCAAUAUUAUGGAGAAUAGUUAGGAGAGUAAACUUGACCAUAUCACUCAGGUCCAAAGAAAAAGAGGAGGAUAUUUCAAUGAUGGGAGACUUUUCUUAGGCAUUUUAUAGUAGUUGUCAUUUGAUGUCCUAAAUUUCCUUUUGUUAUGUCAGUUAACUUUCCUUGAUCUCGUUGUGCUAUGUUGAUCUUCCAAUAACGCCAUGCCUCCUGUAACUGCCUGCAUUAUGUGCUAGUCUAUUCGAGAUGCAUGAUCAAAAAAUAUAAUAAUCAGAUGCAUGAACUAUUCGAGAAAUUCUUCUUCUGCAGGCUUAGAACCAAUAACGGCUAUUACCCUCCAUUUCUUUCGACUCAACACUCAGCUCCUGCCUCCUUGCAACAUCCCUCGUAUUUCAGGAAAGUAUGAACCAAGGCUUUUAAUAGCUUCUUGCGAUGCCCCUAUUGGAAUGCAGUUAAUUUCCAUGUUUCUAAUGGUGAAAAGGAUGAAUUGAGUGUUAUCUUCUAACAUUUUACGACGAUGUGAAACUUGUUCUGCUGGAAACAUUUGUUUGAGAGUAGCUGAUUUUGGUGGUUAGCUGUAUAAGUGAUGAGCUAUCUUACUAUAGUAGGACGAAGGCACUUUCAAACUGAAAAAUAUGGAAAAACUUCAGGGGUUAGAGGUGUUAGUUCUGUGUCUGGAGAAGACUACUCUAAUAUAGUCCCUUUUUGUCCAUUUUAGUUAAGCUCCAAUUUACCAUUUGGGGGUCGAUUGAAGAGUUUUUUCCCUUUAACUGACAUAUUGCUAGUGGAAUUUCGUGAUUUUGAGAGCAUGCAGCCCAUUUAAAGAGUUUCAGUUUCCUCUUCAUUGUUCUAAAUCUAUCCACCAAUCUAAGAGAUUGACUCACUCUGAGCUUGGACCAAAGAUAAGACUAAAAAGGACGAAUCGACUUGCACUUGUCUAACUUCUAUUAACAGAGCUUAGAGCAGCUUUCGAAAUAAAAUGCUAGCUUCUGAACCAAUUUGGUAUUCAAAUUAUUCUGUAUUCAUUUUGUUUAUUUUUAGAGAGAAUUUGUUUUUGCUAGAAGCUAAAUCCUAGUCGUUACAACGAUCUCACAGACUUUUUGCAUGUAGCCAACAAACUGCAGGGCCUAAAGCUCUAGAAUGGAGAGAUCCGGAUUCUAUCUAGCCGGAGAGAACUUUGGUGUUAGUCGACAUUAGCAAUGACUACUCAAACUGGUACAUGCUAAUAAAAAAGGUAGAAGAAUCACCAGCAGAAUCAAGGUAGACGGUGAAAAUCUGAGAUGGUCCUACUAAGCCUUGAAACAAGCAUCUGAUAGACGGUGAAAAUCUGAGAUGGUCCUACUAAGCCUUGAAACAAGCAUCUGAUAGACGGUGAAAAUCUGAGAUGGUCCUACUAAGCCUUGAAACAAGCAUCUGAUGGCACCAAACUUUGCAGAAAAUGAGGUAGAAACGUACAAAUUUAUACAUGCAGGAUGGUGCUAAAUUUCAACAGCUUCGGAAGAUACGUCCUACUUGAAUCUUGGCUAGGUGGAAGCAGAGUAGUGGUGAUUGUCCCAGAAAUUUGAAACAGAUGCAGGUUGGACAGAAUAUGGCAACAAGAUUUUAAAAUAAUUGGAAGAGUUGAUGGGCAGAAACGAACAAAACCUAUUCAGAAGCUGCAGCAACACAACUGUGGCAGAAGAGGAGAUUCGAAAGAAAACAAAGGGGAUACCAGAAGGAAGAGUUAGUGUAUAUGAAGCAACUUUUGGUGGACAGAGAAGAGUAUUUACCAGAAGGAGAUUCGAAAGAAAACAAACAGUGGACGAAGGAGCAGACCAAUCAAUGUUUUUGCAUGGAAGAGAGAUGAUGCCAACAGACACAGAACAGAAACAGAAUCAAAUAUAGAUAUAUGCUCCUUGGAAAACUGGACAUCCUAUGCAUCAAUUGGGGCACCGUCUUUACCAUGGUAUGAUGAAACAAACAACAUGCAAGGUGGUAUGAGCUCUUCAACAGAAACCAAAGGUGUGCUAACAGCUGGGAGUAGGUGUGGGAGGUUUUGAACAAGAUCUAUUGGGCUUGCCGCUACGAGUAGAAUACAUGAGGAUGCAGAAAAAUCAAAAUAUCAUCAUAAAGCCACCAGCACCAGACAGUGAAAAGAGGAAAAGAAAGAACAAGGUGAAAAAAAUAGAAUUCAAAGUUGAGUAUGGGAAAGUGAAGGGAGAACCAGGCACAGGAACAACGUAAUUUUAGAAGAUUAAGAUUCUAAGUUAGAACUUAAGGGGUGUAAACAUACUAGGAAGGGAAGAUGCUAAGGUCAUUAAUACAGAGAUGGAAAACAGGUAUCCUGUGUUUUCAAGAAACAGAAUUGGAAGAGUGGUCAGGCAGCAUAAUCCGGCAAAUUUGGGGGAAUAGAUAGGUUGACUGCGUUGUCUCAAAGCCAAAGGUAAUCAGGCGGAAGAGUAAUACUAUGGGUUAAGAGGAAUGGUCUUGCUUGAAUGACAGAACGGGGUUCUUAGGCCCCAUUUGUUUGCACUAAAUGGAGAUCUGAAUCCUAAUCAUUCAUAUCUUAAAUAUUAAGAGCGUUUGUUUUUAAAGCCUGAAUCUUAAUCAUUCAGAUCUUACUCAUUAAGUGUGUUUGUUUGUUUUCCUUCACAACUACUUAAUGGGUCUGAAUAGGUCUGUAUGAUUAAGAUCUAUAACAAAGACUUAAUUUCAUUAAGAUGUUAUCAUCUACAUUCAUUACUAACUGUCGUCAUCGUCAAUCAUUAUCAACUACCACCAUCAACAAUUGUAGGUCAUUAAUACAGAGAUGGAAAACAGGUAUCUUUUGUUUUCAAGAAACAGAAUUGGAAGAGUGGUCAAGCAGCAUAAUCCGGCAAAUUUGGGGGAAUAGAUGGGUUGACUGCGUUGACUGCGUUGACUCAAAGCCUAAGGUAAUCAGGCGGAAGAGUAAUACUAUGGGUUAAGAGGAAUGGUCUUGCUUGAAUGACAGAACGGGGCUCUUAGGCCACAUUUGUUUGCACUAAAUGGAGAUAUGAAUCCCAAACUUUGCAGAAAAUGAGGUAGAAACGUACAAAGUUAUACAUGCAGGAUGGUGCUAAAUUUCAACAGCUUCGGAAGAUACGUCCUACUUGAAUCUUGGCUAGGUGGAAGCAGAGUAGUGGUGAUUGUCCCAGAAAUUUGAAACAGAUGCAGGUUGGACAGAAUAUGGCAACAAGAUUUUAAAAUAAUUGGAAGAGUUGAUGGGCAGAAACGAACAAAACCUAUUCAGAAGCUGCAGCAACACAACUGUGGCAGAAGAGGAGAUUCGAAAGAAAACAAAGGGGAUACCAGAAGGAAGAGUUAGCGUAUAUGAAGCAACUUUUGGUGGACAGAGAAGAGUAUUUAGCCUAAUGCUUAGUGGCUAUCUCAGCGACCAAUUUAGUCCCAACCCAGAAGCGGUGGUGCUACAGAGUUGUUUUCAACAGUGCAGGAAAGUACCGACAGGUCUCAAAGUCGCAGAGGUGCGCUUCGGAAUGUACCAUUUUUGAUUUCGUAUUGUACAUUGACAGCAAACACUUCAGAGCAGGGAAUGGUUUUGGAAGGGAAGAAGGCUGGAGAUAUGACCUAAGUAUCUGGCCAGAAUCAUCGUCGAAGUUAACAGAGAUGGCAAAGUAAAUUGUCGGCAACAAUCUGAUGACUGACUAUCCGAAUUUCCAGGAGGAGACCAGUCAUCCAAGCUGAUAAAACAAGGGGAAACGAGAGGGUGAUGAGAGAUCAGCGAAUUACGUGGCUGGCUGAUUUUCAAAACUUGAAACUGAACCAUUCAAGCACUUGAUUCCAAUCAAUGAACAAACCUGGUCCAGAAUUGAAGGAAUGAAGGAAAACUGGAGAGAAAUCACCCUUCCUUCAGAAACAUGGGCUGUGCUUGUUAUGACCCUUGUAUUUUUAACAUGGGCUCCUCUUUUUCAACCUAAUGCAAUUAUACAUCCUGUAACGCUGGAAAUAGAAGUCCAAUUAUCAAAUAAAAAUACUCCAACACAAAAGAAAGAACAGUCAAGAGCUCUUAUCCCUUCCAGACCAGCUUGUGACCCCAACAGUGGAUACCAGGGACAAACAGUGGACGAAGGAGCAGACCAAUCAAUGUUUCUGCAUGGAAGAGAGAUGAUACCAACAGACACAGAACAGAAACAUAACCAAAUAUGGAUAUAUGCUCCUUGGAAAACUGGACAUCCUAUGCAUCAAUUGGGGCACCGUCUUUACCAUGGUAUGAUGAAACAAACAGUAUGCAAGGUGGUAUGAGCUCUACAACAGAAACCAAAGGUGUGCUAACAGCUGGGAGUAGGUGUGGGAGGUUUUGAACAAGAUCUAUUGGGUUUGCCGCUACGAGUAGAAUACAUGAGGAUGCAGAAAAAUCAAAAUAUCAUCAUAAAGCUACCAGCACCAGACAGUGAAAAGAGGAAAAGAAAGAACAAGGUGAAAAAAAUAGAAUUCAAAGUUGAGUAUGGGAAAGUGAAGGGAGGACCAGGCGCAGGAACAACGUAAUUUUAGAAGAUUAAGAUUCUAAGUUAGAACUUAAGGGGUGUAAACAUACUAGGAAGGGAAGAUGCUAAGGUCAUUAAUACAGAGAUGGAAAACAGGUAUCCUGUGUUUUCAAGAAACAGAAUUGGAAGAGUGGUCAGGCAGCAUAAUCCGGCAAAUUUGGGGGAAUAGAUGGGUUGAUUGCGUUGUCUCAAAGCCUAAGGUAAUCAGGCGGAAGAGUAAUACUAUAGGUUAAGAGGAAUGGUCUUGCUUGAAUGACAGAACGGGGUUCUUAGGCCCCAUUUGUUUGCACUAAAUGGAGAUCUGAAUCCUAAUCAUUCAUAUCUCAAAUAUUAAGAGCGUUUGUUUUUAAAGCCUAAAUCUUAAUCAUUCAUAUCUUACUCAUUAAGUGUGUUUGUUUGUUUUCCUUCACAACUACUUAAUGGGUCUGAAUAGGUUUGUAUGAUUAAGAUCUAUAACAAAGACUUAAUUUCAUUAA